CCGGCACGGGUGAGUAACACGUAUCCAACCUGCCGUCUACUCUUGGACAGCCUUCUGAAAGGAAGAUUAAUACAAGAUGGCAUCGUGAGUCCACAUGUUCACAUGAUUAAAGGUAUUCCGGUAGACGAUGGGGAUGCGUUCCAUUAGAUAGUAGGCGGGGUAACGGCCCACCUAGUCUUCGAUGGAUAGGGGUUCUGAGAGGAAGGUCCCCCACAUUGGAACUGAGACACGGUCCAA
rnacentral:rRNA from 1 species